rnacentral:lncRNA from 1 species
UAAUUAUGACGCCCACUACGAGUUCUUCAAAGCGUGGUUUACGUCAGAGAAGCUCUGCCAAUUCGGGUAUUCCUCUUCUCCAAUCAUCCUCCUCAUCUCUCUUCUCAUAUCUCUCUUAGAUUAUACUAAUUCACUUUUUAAUGGCUAAUCAGAUUUGAAGGCCGGGAAGUGUUCAUCUAGGCUGCUGCGUUUCUGGUAGGCAAGGAAUGUGAAGUGCGGUGAUAAGCUCAUGUGGUCAUGAUGGAUGUGCAUGUAAGCUACUUUCCAUUUUAUAUUAUUGGAUUUUGAUUUUUGCUCAUGAAAAUUCUGUGAUAUGAUUUUUCCAGCGAAUCUCUUUCUGUUUUUUAAAGCUGGGAUAUCUCAAAAUAUGUUUCAGGCGACGAUCUUUCAGGUCACCAUUGGUGAUAAUCGUCUUCCAAAAUUCCGAGAAAGGGUGGCCUGUUUCUCCAUUGCCUGAUGAUGAAUUACCACUCGCCCCUCCAGAUUCAGACUUGGUAUGAACUCGACUUGCCAAUAAUCAAUAGUCUUGAAAAGAUUGAGUUUAUAUAUUUGGGAGAUGGUAUUUGGUUUCGUUUGGUGACUAUAGAGUUUCAGAUAAUUAUUUAAAAGAGCUUUCACCUCAUUUUGAAGAAAGCAUUCAGGUUACUUGGGCUCAUACUUCUUGAUUUUGUUCCAAGUUUUUUUUUAAAAAAUCUUUUUGUAGAUUGAUAGAAGAUGAGCUUCAGCAAGUUAGAGGUAUUUUAUCGAUGAAACUGUGCCAUUUAAAGAACUGUUAAAGUAUUGGGGCUGUCCUCGCAACAAGUUUUUCCAGUUUUUGUUUUACGCAUUUGUUGUGAGAUCAGUAAGUGAAUCACACAAUUUUUGUUGUUGCAGAUACCUGGUGCAGGAGGCCGUUACGGACAAUACUGAUGCUGCCAUUUUUGUUGCAUUGGAUGGGUCAAUAACAAAGCUAAUCAAUGUUCGUGCCUCUUGAGGAUUUCCCUGGUAUGGUUCGCCACAAAGCCAAGCACAUCGUAACCAAGGGGUAAGAACUGCUAUGUUUUUCAGCAUCGCGUUUUAGGAUUGUUCGUUUUAGUACAAAUGCUUUUAAGCCUAUUAUGUUCAGGUUCUGAGAACGUGAGUCUAUUGUUAUAAUUUUUAUGAACCUGUUUUACUCCAAACAUUCUCUUUUAAAACAAUAAGUAAAAAAUAAUAAUAUUAGUUUGUUUACUCAAUGGUGGUAUCGAUUUUCCAUGGAUUAUUCGCACCAAUCAUGAUAGACCUCUCUGUUCCACCAAAUAUGUUUUAGCAUGUCAACAUACAUUCGCUAUCACUGUUGUUCAAAAACAAAAAAAAAAACAUUCGCUAUCACUUAGUCUUGGAAGGACACGAAGAAUUAAAGAAUAUUAUGUAUUUGUAUGCUAUUCAUAUUUUUGUUUAAAAAAGAAAAUUAUUUUGAUCAUAAUAGACCACAUACGAGUGUUUGUUUGUCGGUUUAGGAUAGUUCUACGCUUUUCGUGAGAUUGUUUUACCUCAUGAUAUUCAGUAUUGGAAAGAAAAAUAAUCACAGAUUCUUUAUGCGGAUUGUCCUUACAUAAUUUCCCUGUUAUGCUCUUCAAAUCUGUACAGGCCAAUAUCAGUGGAUUUGAUAUGAUUCAAAAUCUAAAUUCAUCAUUCAAAGCUUGCCUUAUCAUGCACUGCGCUA